rnacentral:rRNA from 1 species
UACGUAGGGGGCAAGCGUUGUCCGGAUUUAUUGGGCGUAAAGAGCUCGUAGGCGGUGUGUCACGUCGGCCGUGAAAACCUGCAGCUUAACUGUGGGCGUGCGGUCGAUACGGGCAUCACUGGAGUUCGGCAGGGGAGACUGGAAUUCCUGGUGUAGCGGUGAAAUGCGCAGAUACCAGGAGGAACACCGGUGGCGAAGGCGGGUCUCUGGGCCGAUACUGACGCUGAGGAGCGAAAGCGUGGGGAGCAAACAGG